UACGAAGGGGGCUAGCGUUGCUCGGAAUUACUGGGCGUAAAGGGAGCGUAGGCGGAUAGUUUAGUCAGAGGUGAAAGCCCAGGGCUCAACCUUGGAAUUGCCUUGAUACUGGCUAUCUUGAGUACGGAAGAGGUAUGUGGAACUCCGAGUGUAGAGGUGAAAUUCGUAGAUAUUCGGAAGAGCACCAGUGGCGAAGGCGACAUACUGGUCCGUUACUGACGCUGAGGCUCGAAAGCGUGGGGAGCAAACAGG
rnacentral:rRNA from 1 species